rnacentral:rRNA from 1 species
GUGGCGGACGGGUGAGUAACGCGUGGGUAACCUGCCCUGUACAGGGGGAGUAACAGUCAGAAAUGACUGCUAGUACCGCAUAAGACCACGAAACCGCAUGGUUUUGAGGUAAAAACUCCGGUGGUGUGAGAUGGGCCCGCGUCUGAUUAGGUAGUUGGUGCGGUAACGGCGCACCAAGCCGACGAUCAGUAGCCGACCUGAGAGGGUGACCGGCCACAUUGGGACUGAGACACGGCCCAAACUCCUACGGGAGGCAGCAUG